GAUGAAGCUCACUAGCCUGAAUGCAAAGCAUUCAGAAUUAAAGCUUUUUGAUUUAUUCUCGGUUCUCAAAACUUAUUACUUUCUGAACAAGUCUACACAAGAUGGUAUGAGAUAUAAUUCAUGUAGUAUCUUCAAUACAUGUAGCCAUGGUAAAAUAUUACCUUCUUUUUGGCUGAGAGUGCUUCUCUGCAAGCUGUACUGUAC
rnacentral:misc_RNA from 1 species